rnacentral:rRNA from 1 species
CCCUUAGAUGUUCUGGGCCGCACGCGCGCUACACUGUUCGACGCAGCGAGUCUUAACCUUGACCGAAAGGUUUGGGUAAUCUUCAGCAAAGUCGAACGUGAUGGGGAUCGAUCAUUGCAAUUAUUGAUCGUGAACGAGGAAUUCCUAGUAAGUGCAAGUCAUCAGCUUGCGCUGAUUACGUCCCUGCCCUUUGUACACACCGCCCGUCGCUACUACCGAUUGAAUGGUGUAGUGAGAUCUCUGGAUUGACGCUGGCUAGGGGGCGACCCUUGGCCAGACUGUUGAGAAACUGCUCAAACUUGAUCAUUUAGAGGAAGUAAAAGUCGUAACA